rnacentral:rRNA from 1 species
GCUCCAAUAGCGUAUACUAAAGUUGUUGCAGUUAAAAAGCUCGUAGUUGAACUUCUGUACAGUCUCAGUUCUGGCUUAGGUCAAGCUGUUGGUUGUACAUCCGCUUGCAAGCUAGUUCGGCCUUAACUGGUCGGCUGGUAGAGUAAGCCUUUUACUUUGAAAAAAUUAGAGUGUUUCAGGCAGGCAAUGGCUCGAAUACA